rnacentral:rRNA from 1 species
GCUUAGAGUUUGAUCCUGGCUCAGGAUGAACGCUGGCGGCGUGCCUAACACAUGCAAGUCGAGGGAGAAGCUACCUUCGGGUAGUGGAAACCGGCGCACGGGUGAGUAACACGUAGCUAUCUGCCCCAAAGAGGGGGAUAACAGUUGGAAACAGCUGCUAAUACCCCAUAUCCUCGCAAGAGGAAAGCUCCGGCGCUUUGGGAUGAGGCUGCGGACCAUCAGCUAGAUGGUGGGGUAAUGGCCCACCAUGGCAACGACGGUUAGGGGACCUGAGAGGGUGACCCCCCACACUGGGACUGAGACACGGCCCGGACUCCUACGGGAGGCAGCAGUGAGGAAUAUUGCACAAUGGGCGCAAGCCUGAUGCAGCGACGCCGCGUGGGUGAAGAAGGUUUUCGGAUCGUAAAGCCCUUUUCUGCGUGACGAGAGUGGACGGUAGCGCAGGAAUAAGUCUCGGCUAACUACGUGCCAGCAGCCGCGGUAAAACGUAGGAGGCAAGCGUUAUCCGGAGUUACUGGGCGUAAAGCGCGUGCAGGUGGGUUAUUAAGUCACUUAUGAAAGCUCCCGGCUAAACUGGGAGAGGCUGAGUGAAACUGGUAGCCUAGAGUAGAGGAGAGGUAGACGGAAUUCCGCGUGUAGUGGUGAAAUGCGUAGAGAUGCGGAAGAACACCAGUGGCGAAGGCGGUCUACUGGCCUCUAACUGACACUCAGACGCGAAAGCAUGGGUAGCGAACGGGAUUUAGAAACCCGGUAGUCCAUGCCCGUAACGAUGCACACUAGACGUU